UCUGACGGAGCACGCCGCGUGAGUGAUGAAGGUUUUCGGAUCAGUAAAGCUCUGUUGAUAGGGAAGAACAAGUGCCGUUCAAAUAGGGCGGCACCUUGACGGUACCUAACCAGAAAGCCACGGCUAACUACGUGCCAGCAGCCGCGGUAAUACGUAGGUGGCAAGCGUUGUCCGGAAUUAUUGGGCGUAAAGGGCUCGCAGGCGGUUUCUUAAGUCUGAUGUGAAAGCCCCCGGCUCAACCGGGGAGGGUCAUUGGAAACUGGGGAACUUGAGUGCAGAAGAGGAGAGUGGAAUUCCACGUGUAGCGGUGAAAUGCGUAGAGAUGUGGAGGAACACCAGUGGCGAAGGCGACUCUCUGGUCUGUAACUGACGCUGAGGAGCGAAAGC
rnacentral:rRNA from 1 species